CUAAAAAUCAAUAUACCUAUAGUGAAACAAUUUGUGAGCCUUAUAUAGUUAAUUAUAUUGUAUUUUGUUGAAUAUCAAGUCAUCAAAUAAUGGCUCAUAUUUUAGUGCUAGAUUCAAUACAACAAGAUAUUUUUGUAUGUGGCAUCUGCAAAAUAGUGUACAACUCUUUACCACCAUUUUUGCAUCACAAAAAAACAUGUACACAAGAACUUUCUGUAGACAAGCAAUGUUCGGUUUCGUCCAAUUCAAUGAAAACACUAUGUGAUAUAGCAAGUACUCCAAGUAGAGAAGUCAUGAUAAAUAAUGAAGAUGAUAUACCAAAGGACAUCACUUGCAAAUAUUGCAAGAAGAAAUUCAAGAAAGUUAAAACUUUAAUUUCCCAUUUAAAAACACAUAGCGACAGUCCUUAUCAAUGUCCUGUAUGUGGCCGGUGUUUCAUACAAAACUCACAUUUACAGAGGCACAUCUUGUGUCAUAAAGUUUGGCCUGAUGGUCUUAAUGAGACUACUGCUAAAAACACCGAAGCUGAUUUACUGUGUUAUGCUUGCUCCUAUUGUAAUGCCACAUCAUCCAAUUAUACACAAUUUAGAGCUCAUUUGAAAAGUCAUGCUGCCCUUAAAAAAUUCAAAUGCAUUCAGAGUGAAUGUAUAAAUUUUUAUGAAACUGUUGAGGGUCUGAUAAACCAUGUAUUGGCAAGUCAUAAAAAUCCAAAUUACACAUGUUACAUCUGUAAUAAUAUUUUCAAUUCAUUGGAGACCAUUGCAGUUCAUUAUCAGAACCAUAAUACCAAAAAUAUUAAAGAUAUUCAAUCAAAAAUUUAUAAAUGCUCUUUAUGUGAUGCAACAUUUAAAAGACCUGAAAAACUAUCUUUGCACAAGCUAACUGAAAGUCAUAAAAAGAAUUGUAUACACUGUAAUAAAACAUUUGCUAGUGACAAAAGACUACGUUCACAUUUGCAAAUCCAUAGAAAUUUGAAGCCUUUCAAGUGCACUAUGUGCAACAGCAGUUUUCAUAUGAAAAAAUAUUUAACUUCUCACAUGCUGAAGCAUGGUGAUAGACAGUUCACUUGUGCUGUUUGUAAACUUACAUUUAAAAGACAAGAUUUGCUGCACAGGCACAUGAAAUUGCAUCAACCAAGAAAGCUACUGAAAUGCCCUUUUAGAGACACCUUAGACUGCAAAAAAGAAUUUACUCGGAAUGACAAAUUAAAAUCUCACAUAAAAUAUCACACAAAACAUGUAGCGGGCAGCUCUGUAGUUCACAAGUCUAGUGAGAAUGAUGGUGGAACUGUGGAAAUAUGUAUUGUGCCAUUAGACAGUAAAAAUAAUCAAAAUGAAGCAACUUUAAUUGACAAACACAGAAGCGUCUAAUUACUAUCAUAACUGUUUUCAUGUCAGGCUUAGAAAUUAAAGUAAUAGAUUACUUACUAAUAUACCUGCUACAUUAGUGCAACACUUGUAUGGCUGCACUGCCGGGUACACGGCCAGACAAUUUCGAGUAACUGACCAAGUUUAUUUGGAUAUACGCAGUGAGGACAAGUCUUUGGGAAGGAUAGUAAUUGGCUUAUUCGGAGAUUUGGCACCAAAAACUGUUAAGAAUUUUAAAGUGCUAGCUACUAAGGGU